rnacentral:rRNA from 1 species
UGCCAGCAGCCGCGGUAAUACGGAGGGUGCAAGCGUUAAUCGGAAUUACUGGGCGUAAAGCGCACGCAGGCGGUUAUUUAAGCUAGAAGUGAAAGCCCCGCGCUCAACGUGGGAAGGCCUUUUAGAACUGGAUAACUCGAGUCUUGGAGAGGGGAGUGGAAUUCCAGGUGUAGCGGUGAAAUGCGUAGAUAUCUGGAGGAACAUCAGUGGCGAAGGCGACUCUCUGGCCAAAGACUGACGCUCAUGUGCGAAAGUGUGGGUAGCGAACAGGAUUAGAUA